rnacentral:ncRNA from 2 species
UAGGAAUCAGUCUAGGACGGUUUGGGUAAUACCAACUAAGAGGGAAUUGUGUGAAAAUCACAAGCUGUCGCGCAACUGUAAGUAACCAUUUAAAGUUUUUACAAUUAAAUCCACUGUUUUAAUCGAUGGGAAGGAAGUAAAAAUGUUACAAGCCAGGAGACCUACCACUACUAAAAUGAUAAU